CCUACGGGUGGCAGCAGUGAGGAAUAUUGGUCAAUGGUCGGGAGACUGAACCAGCCAAGCCGCGUGAGGGAUGAAGGUACAGAGUAUCGUAAACCUCUUUUGUCAGGGAACAAAGGCGUGGACGCGUCCCCGGAUGAGUGUACCUGAAGAAAAAGCAUCGGCUAACUCCGUUCCCGCAGCCGCGGUAAUACGGAGGAUGCGAGCGUUAUCCGGAUUUAUUGGGUUUAAGGGGUUCGCAGGCGGUCUGUUAAGUUCGCGGUAAAAGCGCGGGGCUCAACCCCGGCCCGCCGUUGAAACUGGCAGUCUCGAGUUGGAGAGAAGUAUGCGGAAUGCGCGGUGUAGCGGUGAAAUGCAUAGAUAUCGCGCAGAACUCCGAUUGCGAAGGCAGCAUGCCGGCUCCACACUGACGCUGAGGCACGAAAGCGUGGGUAUCGAACAGGAUUAGAUACCCUUGUAGUC
rnacentral:rRNA from 1 species